AUUGAACGCUAGCGGCAGGCCUAACACAUGCAAGUCGAACGAGUGGCGGACGGGUGAGUAAUGUCUGGGAAACUGCCUGAUGGAGGGGGAUAACUACUGGAAACGGUAGCUAAUACCGCAUACCAUCAGAUGUGCCCAUAUGGGAUUAGCUUGUUGGUGGGGUAACGGCUCACCAAGGCGACGAUCCCUAGCUGGUUUGAGAGGAUGACCAGCCACACGGGAACUGAGACACGGUCCAGACUCCUACGGGAGGCAGCAGUGGGGAAUAUUGCACAAUGGGGGCAACCCUGAUGCAGCCAUGCCGCGUGUAUGAUGAAGGCCUUCGGGUUGUAAAGUACUUUCGGCGGGGAGGCGUUACCCGCAGAAGAAGCACCGGCUAACUACGUGCCAGCAGCCGCGGUAAGUC
rnacentral:rRNA from 1 species